AAAGUCCCGCAAGGGGCAAGUAGAGUGGCAAACGGGUGAGUAACGCGUGGGCGACCUACCUUCGAGUGGGGGAUAACCUUCCGAAAGGAGGGCUAAUACCGCAUGACAUACCGUGUUUGGAUACACGGACAUCAAAGCCGGGGAUCGCAAGACCUGGCGCUUGAAGAGGGGCCUACGUCCGAUUAGCUAGUUGGUGAGGUAACGGCUCACCAAGGCUCCGAUCGGUAUCCGGCCUGAGAGGGCGGACGGACACACUGGAACUGAGACACGGUCCAGACUCCUACGGGAGGCAGCAGUAGGGAAUUGUUCGCAAUGGGCGCAAGCCUGACGACGCAACGCCGCGUGGAGGAUGAAGACCUUCGGGUCGUAAACUCCUUUCGACCGAGAUGAAUACCUCCGGAUCUAAUACAUCCGGAGGCUGACAGUAUCGAGGGAAGAAGCCCCGGCUAACUCCGUGCCAGCAGCCGCGGUAAUACGGGGGGGGCAAGCGUUGUUCGGAAUUACUGGGCGUAAAGGGUUCGUAGGUGGCCUACUAAGUCAGACGUGAAAUCCCUCAGCUUAACUGGGGAACUGCGUCUGAUACUGGUGGGCUUGAGUGCAGGAGAGGAACGCGGAAUUCCAGGUGUAGCGGUGAAAUGCGUAGAUAUCUGGAGGAACACCGGUGGCGAAGGCGGCGUUCUGGACUGCAACUGACACUGAUGAACGAAAGCCAGGGGAGCAAACGGGAUUAGAUACCCCGGUAGUCCUGGCCCUAAACGAUGAAUGCUUGGUGUGGCGGGUAUCGAUCCCUGCCGUGCCGAAGUUAACGCG
rnacentral:rRNA from 1 species